GAUGAAGAACGUAGCGAAAUGCGAUACGUAAUGUGAAUUGCAGAAUUCAGUGAAUCAUCGAGUCUUUGAACGCACAUUGCGCCCCCUGGUAUUCCGGGGGGCAUGCCUGUCCGAGCGUCAUUGCUGCCCUCAAGCCCGGCUUGUGUGUUGGGUCUCGUCCCCCUUCCCGGGGGGACGGGCCCGAAAGGCAGCGGCGGCACCGUGUCCGGUCCUCGAGCGUAUGGGGCUUUGUCACCCGCUCUGUAGGCCCGGCCGGCGCUUGCCGAUCAACCAAAACUUUUUUCCAGGUUGACCUCGGAUCAGGUAGGGAUACCCGCUGAACUUAAGCAUGUCAAUAAGCGGAGGA
rnacentral:misc_RNA from 1 species